rnacentral:rRNA from 1 species
AUGACCCAACGGCAGAGGCCCAAACAGGCUAUCUACACUUACAGUUGGGCCACGUUAUUUUUCGAGCCCCUUCUGGUUUUCCGUGUUGUUACGGAAGUGCUGCGCGAGAGCCGAUUGGCCGACGGACAGAGGGGCUCCGAGGCAAUAAUGGAGGCGGCGUCGGCGGCGUCGGCGGCGACGGCGACGGCGACGAUGGUGUUCGUGUACGGCACCCUGAAGCGCGGGUUUCCCAACUACCCCCGCCUCGCCGCCUUCGACUGCCCCUUCGCCGGCGCGGCCACCACCGCCGCCCCAGCCUCCCUCGUCAUCGGGCCCUACUCCGUCCCCUUCCUCCUCCCCACCCCGACUCCGUCCUCCGGGCGUCUGGUCUCCGGCGAGCUCUACUCCGCGUCGCCCAGCGCCCUCGCCGACCUCGACUUGCUAGAGGGCACUCACCUCGGCGUCUACGAGCGCCGGCGGAUCACCGUCGUGGUUGACGGGGCGAGCAAAGAGGUGGAGGCACAGGCUUACUUUGCGAACGCGAGCUACGCGGAGUUCCUGUGGCUGCGCUGCGGCGGCGAGGCGGCCGAGAUCGCGGAGUACACCAUGGAGCACGCGGGCAGGUACGUCCCGCCCAGUGGCCGCUCUCCCGGCGUCUCCGGGCUCAUGGAUGCCGUCCGUGCCUUCCUCGCCACUGCUCCGCCAGAAAAUUGA